rnacentral:rRNA from 1 species
CCUACGGGUGGCAGCAGUGGGGAAUAUUGGACAAUGGGGGGAACCCUGAUCCAGCGACGCCGCGUGAGUGAAGAAGUAUUUCGGUAUGUAAAGCUCUAUCAGCAGGGAAGAAAGAAAUGACGGUACCUGACUAAGAAGCCCCGGAUAACUACGUGCCAGCAGCCGCGGUAAUACGUAGGGGGCAAGCGUUAUCCGGAUUGCCUGGGUGUAAAGGGAGCGUAGACGGCGAUGCAAGUCUGAAGUGAAAGGCGGGGGCCCAACCCCCGGACUGCUUUGGAAACUGUAUGGCUGGAGUGCAGGGGAGGUAAGUGGAAUGCCUAGUGUAGCGGUGAAAUGCGUAGAUAUUAGGAGGAACACCAGUGGCGAAGGCGGCUUACUGGACUGUAACUGACGUUGAGGCUCGAAAGCGUGGGGAGCAAACAGGAUUAGAUACCCGUGUAGUC